GACGAACGCUGGCGGCGUGCUUAACACAUGCAAGUCGAACGGAAAGGCCCUGCUUUUGUGGGGUGCUCGAGUGGCGAACGGGUGAGUAACACGUGAGUAACCUGCCCUUGACUUUGGGAUAACUUCAGGAAACUGGGGCUAAUACCGGAUAGGAGCUCCUGCUGCAUGGUGGGGGUUGGAAAGUUUCGGCGGGUGGGGAUGGACUCGCGGCUUAUCAGCUUGUUGGUGGGGUAGUGGCUUGCCAAGGCUUUGACGGGUAGCCGGCCUGAGAGGGUGACCGGCCACAUUGGGACUGAGAUACGGCCCAGACUCCUACGGGAGGCAGCAGUGGGGAAUAUUGCACAAUGGGCGGAAGCCUGAUGCAGCAACGCCGCGUGCGGGAUGACGGCCUUCGGGUUGUAAACCGCUUUCGCCUGUGACGAAGCGUGAGUGACGGUAAUGGGUAAAGAAGCACCGGCUAACUACGUG
rnacentral:rRNA from 1 species